rnacentral:rRNA from 1 species
GGUAACCUGCCCAUCAGAAGGGGAUAACACUUGGAAACAGGUGCUAAUACCGUAUAACAAUCGAAACCGCAUGGUUUUGAUUUGAAAGGCGCUUUCGGGUGUCGCUGAUGGAUGGACCCGCGGUGCAUUAGCUAGUUGGUGAGGUAACGGCUCACCAAGGCCACGAUGCAUAGCCGACCUGAGAGGGUGAUCGGCCACAUUGGGACUGAGACACGGCCCAAACUCCUACGGGAGGCAGCAGUAGGGAAUCUUCGGCAAUGGACGAAAGUCUGACCGAGCAACGCCGCGUGAGUGAAGAAGGUUUUCGGAUCGUAAAACUCUGUUAUUAGAGAAGAACAAGGAUGAGAGUAACUGUUCAUCCCUUGACGGUAUCUAACCAGAGAGCCACGGCUAACUACGUGCCAGCAGCCGCGGUAAUACGUAGGUGGCAAGCGUUGUCCGGAUUUAUUGGGCGUAAAGCGAGCGCAGGCGGUUUCUUAAGUCUGAUGUGAAAGCCCCCGGCUCAACCGGGGAGGGUCAUUGGAAACUGGGAGACUUGAGUGCAGAAGAGGAGAGUGGAAUUCCAUGUGUAGCGGUGAAAUGCGUAGAUAUAUGGAGGAACACCAGUGGCGAAGG